UACGGAGGAUGCAAGCGUUAUCCGGAUUCACUAGGUUUAAAGGGUGCGUAGGCGGAAUAAUAAGUCAGUGGUGAAAUCUUGCGGCUCAACCGUAAAAUAGCCAUUGAUACUGUUGUUCUUGAGUUUGGUUGAGGUAGGCGGAAUGAGUAAUGUAGCGGUGAAAUGCUUAGAUAUUACUCAGAACACCGAUUGCGAAGGCAGCUUACUAAGCCGAAACUGACGCUGAGUCACGAAAGCGUGGGGAGCGAACAGG
rnacentral:rRNA from 1 species